rnacentral:rRNA from 1 species
CGGGAAUUUUGCGCAAUGGGCGCAAGCCUGAACGAGCAACGCCGCGUGCAGGAUGACGGCCUUCGGGUUGUAAACUGCUUUUGGUGGGGAUGAGAUGACAGUACCCGCCGAAUAAGCCCCGGCUAACUCUGUGCCAGCAGCCGCGGUAAUACAGAGGGGGCAAGCGUUGUCCGGAGUUACUGGGCGUAAAGCGCCCGCAGGUGGCACGGCAAGUGCCGGGUGAAAGCCCCGUGCUUAACACGGGGAGGCCCCGGCAGACGGUCGCGCUCGAGGGUGGCAGAGGGGGGUGGAAUUGCUGGUGUAGUGGUGAAAUGCGUAGAGAUCAGCAGGAACACCAAGGGCGAAAGCAGCCCCCUGGGCCGCACCUGACACUGAGGGGCGAAAGCGUGGGGAGCGAAC